rnacentral:rRNA from 1 species
CAGUCGCCGCGGGAAUACGGAGGGGGCUAGCGUUGUUCGGAAUUACUGGGCGUAAAGCGCACGUAGGCGGCUUGGUAAGUUAGAGGUGAAAGCCCGGAGCUCAACUCCGGAAUUGCCUUUAAGACUGCCGAGCUAGUAGGUGAGAGAGGUAAGUGGAAUUCCGAGUGUAGAGGUGAAAUCCGUAGAUAUUCGGAAGAACACCAGUGGCGAAGGCGGCUUACUGGCUCAUUCUAGACGCUGAGGUGCGAAAGCGUGGGGAGCAAACAGGAUUAGAUACCCCUGUAGUCCCUGUCUCUUAUAC